CUCGUUUCCAGCUCAAUGGGAUCAUUUUGCUCAAUUUGAGUUUAUUUUAAUUCUUAUAAUUUCAUUUGCUGAAACAAAUUGAAUAAGUUAGUUUAUUUAUUUAUUCCAGCUCAAAUAAGUGUUAGUAUUAAAUUUAUUAAAAUUGGACAUUUUAAUUAGGUGUUUUAAAUAUGCCUGGAUGAAUUUAAUGCUGCCACUACAUGUUAUAAAUAUGCCUGGACGAAUUUAAUGCUGCUACUACAUGUUUAGCCGAAUUUAAUGUAUGUUUUUAAGGUGUCCAGCUGAAUUUAAUUGUCAUUACAUCAUUUAAGUUGUUUUGCUACAACCGAAUUUAAUGAGGUUUAAUUUAUGUCUUGACCGAAUUUAUUUUGUGUCUGCAGGUAAUUAAUUCAGCUGGAAACAACUAGUUAAUGGCAAAGGAGACAUGCAUUUAAGUUGCUGUUCUACAUGCAAUGAACGGCAUUAAUUAGUUGCUGGUGCUUUUUCAUGUGGCCAUUUAAUGGACAGAUUUAAUGGGUGCAUGCUUGCCGAAUUUAAUGUGCAGCAAAGACAAGCAUUCAAUGAGAUGUUGAAGAAAGCAUGUUGUACAUGGACGGCAUUAAAGAUAGGUUGCUGACUUAGUUAGCAUUUAAGGAGGCAUGCGUGGAUGGCAAUAAAGGAGCUGCCGAAUUCUUCUUUCCAUGCAUGGACGUUAUUUAAUUCUCUACAAUAUCAUCAAGGUGCCGCCCAAUUGAGAGAAUGAAUGAGCAACAUUUAAAGAAGACUUGCAUUAAAGAGAGUGGGCUGCUGGUUGCUAUUUUCCAAGCAUCCCUUCGUGCAUUGCAAGGGUGAAAAUUCCCUUUCAUAAAUUCACAUUGCAUGGCCGGUGGAGUCUCC
rnacentral:lncRNA from 1 species